rnacentral:rRNA from 1 species
CAAUAGCGUAUAUUAAAGUUGUUGCAGUUAAAAAGCUCGUAGUUGGAUUUCUGGUGGGAGCGAUCGGUCUGGCGCUUAGCGCGAGUACUUGCAUCGUCUCCGGCCAUCCUUGGGGAGAGUCUGUCUGGCAUUAGGUUGUCGGGCAGAGGAUCCUCAUCGUUUACUGUGAAAAAAUUAGAGUGUUCAAAGAAGGCUUAUGCCGUUGAAUAUAUUAGCAUGGAAUAAUAAGAUAGGACUUUGGUACUAUUUUGUUGGUUUGCGCACCAAAGUAAUGAUUAAUAGGGACAGUUGGGGGUAUUCGUAUUCCGUUGUCAGAGGUGAAAUUCUUGGAUUUACGGAAGACGAACUACUGCGAAAGCAUUUACCAAGGAUGUUUUCAUUAA